ACCCAGAUGGCUCUGUCAUUAAAGCAUGUGACUCUUGAUCUCAGGGUUGUGAGUUUGAGCCUCACAUUGGGUG
rnacentral:tRNA from 1 species